UACGGGGGGGCAAGCGUUGUUCGGAAUUACGUGGCGUAAAAGGUUCGUAGGUGGCCAACUAAGUCAGACGUGAAAUCCCUCAGCUUAACUGGGGAACUGCGUCUGAGACUGGAUGGCUUGAGUGCAGGAGAGGAACGCGGAAUUCCAGGUGUAGCGGUGAAAUGCGUAGAUAUCUGGAGGAACACCGGUGGCGAAGGCGGCGUUCUGGACUGCUACUGACACUGAGGAACGAAAGCCAGGGAGCAAACAGG
rnacentral:rRNA from 1 species